rnacentral:rRNA from 1 species
GCAGCAGGUUGUAGCAAUACAAUGCUGGCGACCGGCGCACGGGUGCGUAACGCGUAUGCAACUUGCCCUUAACUGGAAGAUAUCCCAAAGAAAUUUGGAUUAAUACUCCAUAAUAUCACGAAUUCGCCUGUUUUUGUGAUUAAAGCUCCGGCGGUUAAGGAUAGGCAUGCGUCCGAUUAGCUAGUUGGUGAGGUAACGGCUCACCAAGGCGACGAUCGGUAGGGGGCCUGAGAGGGUGAACCCCCACACUGGUACUGAGACACGGACCAGACUCC